UUAAGAGGAUGCGUCAGUCGCAAGAUGAAGCGUUGAAUUGAAGCCCGAGUAAACGGCGGCCGUAACUAUAACGGUCCUAAGGUAGCGAAAUUCCUUGUCGGUUAAAUACCGACCUGCAUGAAUGGCGUAACGAGAUGGGAGCUGUCUCAACCAGAGAUUCAGUGAAAUUGUAGUGGAGGUGAAAAUUCCUCCUACCCGCGGCAAGACGGAGAGACCCCGUGGACCUUUACUACAACUUAGCACUGCUAAUGGGAAUAUCAUGCGA
rnacentral:rRNA from 1 species